ACUCCUACGGGAGGCAGCAGUGGGGAAUAUUGCACAAUGGGGGAAACCCUGAUGCAGCCAUGCCGCGUGUGUGAAGAAGGCCUUCGGGUUGUAAAGCACUUUCAGUAGGGAGGAAGGUAGUGUAGUUAACACCUGCAUUAUUUGUACGUUACCUACAGAAGAAGCACCGGCUAACUCCGUGCCAGCAGCCGCGGUAAUACGGAGGGUGCGAGCGUUAAUCGGAAUUACUGGGCGUAAAGCGCAUGCAGGCGGCCUGUUAAGUCAGAUGUGAAACGCCCGGGGUCUUAACCUCGGAAUUGCAUUUGAAACUGGCAGGCUAGAGUCUUGUAGAGGGGUUAGAAUUUCAGGUGUAGCGGUGAAAUGCGUAGAGAUCUGAAGG
rnacentral:rRNA from 1 species